rnacentral:rRNA from 1 species
GUACAACUCUGAGCGGUGGGAUCACUCGGCUCGUGUG